rnacentral:tRNA from 1 species
AGCCCCGUCGUAUAGCGGCCAAGUAUGCGGGCCUCUGGAGCCUGAGACGGCAGUUCGAAUCUGCCCGGGGCUA